rnacentral:lncRNA from 1 species
UGACCCGCUCAGUCGCAGGAGAGCUUAAUACUACAAUGAGUUUUGAGUCACUCCUCUGGGCGACAUCCAAGGACAGGCUACCCCCUCACAGUAGUUUUUGUCAUCUCGUUUUAAAAUUCAUGUGUUUUGAUUUCAUUUGAUAAACCUUUGUUACGUUGAGUGUAUCGCCUAGGAUUUUGUCAUUUACCAGAGUAUGUUUUUCGC